rnacentral:rRNA from 1 species
ACGGGAGGCAGCAGUGGGGAAUAUUGGGCAAUGGGGGAAACCCUGACCCAGCAACGCCGCGUGAAGGAAGAAGGCUUUCGGGUUGUAAACUUCUUUUAAGAGGGACGAUAAUGACGGUACCUCUUGAAUAAGCCACGGCUAACUACGUGCCAGCAGCCGCGGUAAUACGUAGGUGGCAAGCGUUAUCCGGAUUUACUGGGUGUAAAGGGCGCGUAGGCGGACUUGCAAGUCAGAUGUGAAAUCUAUGGGCUCAACCCAUAAACUGCAUUUGAAACUGUAUCUCUUGAGUGCUGGAGAGGUAGACGGAAUUCCUAGUGUAGCGGUGAAAUGCGUAGAUAUUAGGAAGAACACCAGUGGCGAAGGCGGUCUACUGGACAGUAACUGACGCUGAGGCGCGAAAGCGUGGGGAGCAAACAGGAUUAGAUACCCUGGUA